rnacentral:rRNA from 1 species
UACGAAGGGGGCUAGCGUUGUUCGGAAUUACUGGGCGUAAAGGGUGCGUAGGCGGGUCUUUAAGUCAGGGGUGAAAUCCUGGAGCUCAACUCCAGAACUGCCUUUGAUACUGAGGAUCUUGAGUUCGGGAGAGGUGAGUGGAACUGCGAGUGUAGAGGUGAAAUUCGUAGAUAUUCGCAAGAACACCAGUGGCGAAGGCGGCUCACUGGCCCGAUACUGACGCUGAUGCACGAAAGCGUGGGGAGCAAACAGG